UUAUUUUUUAAAGAAACUGUUAAUUACCGUAAUCUUAUCUUUCAUUACCGCAACAGGCCUCUACAUUACAUGAUAAUGAAAGCUACGCAUUACGGUAAUGAAUGACAUUUACCUAAGCUAGCUUAAAAUGGCAGUAUGCUAUAAUGACUCAGCAAAAAAAAUCUUAACCAGCAGUGUCAGCUCUCUACUACUUUCUUUACAGUAAACUAUCUAAUUGAAGACUUUUUAAGAACAUGAAAUAUUACACAUUACGGUAAUGAUCACUUAUGGUGUGGAAGGAGACAGAUGUAACGAUAAACUUAACGAUUACCAACAUCAAACAAUGCCAAACAAUCUUACUUUGUAGCCAUCUUUCCUCUUGUGUUCUUUGUGAUGCAUUAUGGGUAAGAAUAACUUUAUUUAAAAUAACACUGUGAUUAUGACAGGGCCAUGAACAAGGUGCAACGGUAAUGAAAGCUGCAUGUUAGGACACUCCAUUUUCCUCAAAUAUUUUUUUAAACAACUUAGGUAACCAUUAUAGCUUAUCAUAAUCUGCUACAUAAUAUCGUUUUAAACAGAUUUAUAUAAUUUUCUGUAAAAUUGCUUUAAUAUUCAUGAUGCUACAUUGAGGUGAAACCAUUAAAUUUUUCACUGGACGCAUUACGGUAAUGAAUUUAAAACUCCAAAAUCAGUUUAAAAAAAAAAAUACAAUUUUGGCAACAAACUGUGGACAAUGCCACAUAACAGAUGUAAUGAUCUUUCAAUAAAAAUUAAAUAUUUCAGGUUACAGGUCAAGUAUGUCCCUAAAAUCUUUGAAGACACAGCUUCGGUUGACUUAAUGAGAAUCGCCCACUGCACAGAAGUGUUCUAACACCCCUGGGUUCCAUUCUACACAAACUUGUGUGAUAACUUAGCAAACUGGAGCUUUCUAGGUACCUCAGUUUGGAAAAUAUGAGCUCCCAAAGUUGGACGAGAUUUUUAAUUGGCUAUUUUUGGUCUCAAAAAUCUCAGUGUGGGACAGGUACCAGAGACCCCAAAUUUUUCUACAAGACAGUUCCAUCUGUCUUUCUAUCACUGUACAAAAAAGCAGCAGGGUUAUAUUUGUAGUUACUGAGAUAUUCUUACUCAAAAUGGCAUGGGUAAUGUCAAAAUCGUUUUUUGCUUUUCAGUACUUUAAAUUGGGAUACAAGUAUUAGUAGUCAUUUCAAUGGUAUUGGCGCUUUCAAUAUUAGAGUUGCUGGGCUGCUCCUCUUCUUCUGGUAAUGGUAAUGUUCUUUUUGAAAUGUUAGUUAUUAAAGGUGACUACCUUCAAAAAGUGUAAUGGUAUAACUUAGGUAUACCUAAGUUAUAACUUAGGUAUAGGUUCUUUUUAUAGCCCAAAUUCUGAAAAUUUCAGACCCCCACAACUCAGAAACUAUUUGAGCUACAGGCCUACAAUUUUGCAUAGAAAGCACUUUUGUGACUAUCUAAUUGCAUGCAAAUUUAGGACUAAUUUGAAAAUGGUGCGGCAACCACCAUCUGGUGAAACCACACGGAAUGACCCUAUAAUGUUCAGAUUUUCAUUCCAUAUAUUCAAAGUUUCAUUCCAUAUAUUCAGACUUUUUCCUACGGAGCCCUGGAAGGGACAUGGCAAACAAAAACAGGAAUCUUAGUGGACGUUUUCUCUUCAGAUUAGCUAUCCGUCUUCAUCGUUGUCACAGGCAACAGCGACUACAUUUAAGAAGACAGAUAAUUUUUAGAGAUGUUUUGAUUCUGAACACUGAACGUGUGAGCAUUAGCUUAGUUACUUAGCUUCGACUAUGUUUGCAUCCACUACGUAGACAUUAAACACACGCCAUAUGUUGAUUAUAAUGAUAAUAUCUAUGUUUAUCUUUGUAGCUGGUCUUAAGGCUAAUUACGAGGCAGAGAUCAGCUGUUGCCUGGACAGAUCCACGAUCACGCCAUUGGUUGGACACAAUUGUACUGGAUUUCUAUCCGAACUGUCAUGAGACAUUUUUAUUGUGAUAUACCCUCCACUGUUGUUAGCUUUUGAUUCAAUAAAAUUUUCUGACAUGAGGAAAUUGCUAUUGCAUGUUUCUACUUAAAUGCCCUAUUUUUAUGAUAUAUCACUACGGCAUGAACUUUUUACAUUUUCCAUAAAUUUCACCCAAAAGUUGAAUAACUAUUUGUGAGUAGUGUAUGUAGACACGUAAUGUAAGCACACUUCAAAACUAAAUCUGCUGCAAUAGUGCAGUUUAUCUACCUAGCUUGGUGUAACAGUAAAAAAAACAACAACAUAUGCUACUGAUAUGUUUCUGACUAAAAUCUACUUGAAAAGCACAAACAAUUAUCUGUCAAAAUGUGUGUAACAAAAGUGUGCACUGAACACUGAAUAAAGUCUCUGUAGAUUAUAGACAAAAUUUGCAUCUUUCAUCACAAAUUUUCUGUUUAUUCACCCGAAGUGCAUGAGUAAAAUACAAAACAGGUGAAGUUAAAUAACUAAAAAGGAAUUUACAAAAAAAGAUUUAUUUUCUAGAAAAGGCAGUAGUCGACAAUGCAGUUUCUUUCUGAGACAGUCACUCCAGCACCGACACCAUGCAUCCCAUCAGUCCAACCAAAGUUUUAUCCAUCCUCUGGAUGUUCUGAGCAUGGCAGAGGUCACAUCUUGGUCUCUUUUGAUCUAUUCCAAGAACCGUUCCUCUGACCUCUCCAUAUACUGUAGCAGAUCCACGGCUAUGGGGGUAUUACUGUAGCAAAACUAUUUGUCAAUGCAAAUCGGGAGUUGUCUGUCUGUAUUUCAAUCCAUGUGUCCGAAGUGAGAUUUGUCAAUGUGUAAAAGAAUUUGUCUAUGUGAACUGAGAUUUGUCAAUGCGAACCGGAAUCUUCAAAGGUCGUCUGAAAAUUUAAAAUUUGUACAUGUAAUAAGAUUUGUCCAUGCGUACAAAGAGUUGUCCAUGCGUACAAAGGCAUUCGUAGUUGAAAAAUGUACGUAUCCCACUACACAUCAGCAGAAAAUACAGGCAACUCACCGGUUACGAGUCAUUCAGUUUCACAAUUGGCUGUUUUAUUUUCACAUGACCUUUGCUACACUUCUGCCGUGAGUGAGAUUCGUAUCUGAAAAAUGUUGGGUUUUAGCUCCCUGACCUCAGGCUCACAGGCUCGUCCAUGCUGGCUGCCUUCCGCUCUGCUGCCCUGUACCUCGGCAGUUCUUGCCAUCUGCAAGGCAUCAGGCGGCGCUAUGCCUCAGAGACUUUGAGCGAUCGCGACAUUGUGGGGCAGGGUCUGGACAAGAUGGAGCCCCGAUCGCACACAGCGAGUACAUGUUAAUGUUUUUGCAGUUUGUAUAUUUAAGCAGGCUAUUGCUGAGCCUUCUAAAAAUAUAAUAUUGCAGGUACAUGUGAACAACUUACAUUUGCUGAGUUUAUAGGUCGCUGAGCAAACUCUUUCAUGAAGACACCCUGCCAAUCCAUCCACUCCUGCAUGGAUCACGAUUCGGCAUCUAUAAAAGUCACAGUACAAAAUAUGAAUAGAAAUUUAUAAUUAUAGGUAGUUACAGCAAUGCUACAGUAAUGAGGAACAAGGACAAAUUAUCUCAAUAAAUGCAACAAAGAAAAAAGAAACGAAAAGACAACCACAAUUACAAUAAACAACAGAAUUAUUAAUAUUCAAUAUUAUUUAUUUAUAUAUAUCUCUCUGGGCUGUUAUAUAUUUGCAGCAAACCCCUCUCUCCUCAGAGCUGCUUCCCACUUCUUCCUCAACCCACAGUCUUUGGGAAAGUUACAUGGAGUAAAGAAAAAAGUAGACAGAGAAGUAAAUAAGUAUGUACACAACAUAUUUAUAAAGAAAUCAUGCUAAUAAAUUAAGUACAAAUAACUGAAUUAGCCAAUAUACUGGAGACCAAAGUUAUUUAAUUUGAUAAGUAUAACAUUGUUUGGUAACAUUUCAAUUAUUUGAAAGCAGUCCUAAAGAAUUGCCUAUAUUCCCAAUCAUAAAAUGGGUUUGGAGGAAGAACAUAGAUGCUAAUCUGGAUAUAUAUGAGUUAGGCUUUAUAACUACAAUUGGUAGUAUUGGUGGUAUUAAUAGUAAUGCGACUACUAGUGUACACCAACUACUGCUGCGGAUACUGUCACUGCUACUACAACUUGUAAUACUAUUACACAUGCUGAUACUACGUCUACGACUCUAACAGCUACUUAUACUACUACUGCUGCUUGUACUUUUGGUAUUACUACUACUGCUUGUACAACUAUACUACAGCUACUAUUAAUCGUCUGCUAUUUGGUUGUCCAGCUGUUAGCUCGUGUUAGUAUUUUGCUAAUGGCUAACUAGUUAGCUCUCAUAGACCCUCAACAAGAUUUAAUCAUGAAAAACGAGCCCAAAACUAUUCUUACCUGUGGAAAGUUAUUCCAAGUUUCUUGUCUUGAUCGUCCGACGUAGUGUGCAACUGUAUGCUGCACAAUGAGCCGGCAUUCUUCUUGUUUUAAUUUUCGUGCAGUACACAUCAAUGGAAAACACUGAAACUUUGCCCCCACUAGCUUAGUGUCUCCGUAGGCACGCCCAUAUGAGUCAAAACUUCAAGGACAAGUCCUACAGUGGCCUGUAGGAGACCAUGCUGACCAAGGAGCCAUACAGGGAGGAUUACAAGAACAUACUGCAGUUGGUGCAGCUGCUGAUGGUGCUGGCUGCCCAUUUCAGCUGCCCAGUGCGAGAGGGGCUUCUCUGCGCAGAACCGCAUAAAGGGCUCCAAAAGAAGCAGCCUUGCAGUCUCCAUCACCGAAGACCUCAUGAGGAUCAGCUUGGAGGGGCCAUGUCUUGAGGACUUUGAUCCAAGUCCUGCUGUGGACCACUGGAUGAACUCAGCCAAGCGUGCCAGGCGACUUGAAUACAAAAAGAUGUGGGACAGGGAUGUUCUGUGUUCAAUAACUGAGCCUACUGCUUGGCUUGUUGUAUGAAUGUUAAUAAAAUUGUGCAAUUCAUAGUGAAAAUUCA